CUAGUAUUUUUGCAUAUGAAUAUAAUACAAUGACUGGUUUUUCAGGUAAUCUCUUUUUGCAGUUGAAUAUUUUAUCCUGUAGUCAUUGUGAGAUUACAGCCAACUCGUCUGUCCGAUAGCCACGAGAGGGCAGUGUUAGUGAGUUGUUUAGAAUUUUCACACUGAUAGGAGUGCUGUAUGAGUGUGCUGGGAGGAGGCUAUAACAUUGGAGCUCAUUGUACAACUGUAUAAAUGAAAGACGCUAUCCCUGCUGUCUAUCCCCCUUCUCCCUCCUUCCUCCUUAACUGCCCCCCGACAGAUAUCCAGACUUUUUUUCCACCAGCUCAGUUUGAUGCCCGCCCUUUUACACUAAAAAGCUUUGAGACUGGCAUAUUUCCAAGUUCAGUAGUUGUGAGGGGCAGUGUUUGUUGUGCU